rnacentral:rRNA from 1 species
CUCAGGAUGAACGCUGGCGGCGUGCCUAACACAUGCAAGUCGAACGGGAACCUCAUAGUGGAGACUUCGGUCAAAGCAGUGAGAAUUCUAGUGGCGGAUGGGUGAGUAACGCGUGGGUAACCUGCCUACAAGAAUUGGAUAACAGCGAGAAAUUGUUGCUAAUACAAUAUAAGCUUACAGUAUCGCAUGAUACAGUGAGAAAAAGAUUUAUCGCUUGUAGAUGGACCCGCGUUUGAUUAGCCAGUUGGUGGGAUAGAGGCCUACCAAAGCGACGAUCAAUAGCCGGCCUGAGAGGGUGGACGGCCACAUUGGGACUGAGACACGGCCCAAACUCCUACGGGAGGCAGCAGUGGGGAAUAUUGCACAAUGGGGGAAACCCUGAUUGCAGCAACGCCGCGUGAGUGAAGAAGUAUUUCGGUAUGUAAAGCUCUAUCGAUAGGGAAUAAGAUGAGGGUACCUAAGUAAGAAGCCCCGGCUAACUACGUGCCAGCCGCCGC